rnacentral:ncRNA from 1 species
CGAUUUGGUCGCCCGAAGAGGGUGCCAAGAGGGAAGCCGGUGAAAGUCCGGCGCAGUCCCGCUGCUGUAAGCUCAAAAAUUGAAGCCCAGUAAGAUACGUCACUGUGCGACGCCAUAGCCGCAUGGGAAGACGGGGCCGAAGGAGCAAGCCAGAAGACCUGCCAAAUCGCU